CGGUGACCUUCUGCCCAACUGCUCUGGGGGUGGCGGGCCAGGAGCCAGGCCCUGGGCGGAAAUAGGACCCAAAGGCCUCACCAAAGGUGGUGUCAGUGUGGUGCCUGAUCUUGGACUGUCAGCCUUCUCAGUGUGUGUUGCAUAAACCUCUGCUCUUCAUAAGUACCCCACUUCAGAGAUCUCUGAAUGUUACAAUCCUCAUAUAUGGGAAAGUUCAUACAAGCAGCACUCUUGGCCCCACCUCUUAUGGUGGGGCAGCUUCCCAUGACCCACUCAAGUUCCUUGGGAAAAAGACACGGAGAAGCAGGCGCACACAGAGUUGCAAAGACUGUGAGGAUGCUGCCCAAGCUGUCCCCGCCCGUCCUCAGGAGGCCUGGUUGCAAAGCAGGGGCCAUGGCUCAGGCCAACACCGCCCUGGGAAAUGACCCCCACCCCUGCGUCUCCUGCUAUCCUUCGGGCCAAUGUCCUGCUCAUGCCGCCUCUGCUUCCCACUCAAGGACGUUGUCCUGCAGCUGUUCACUCACUGUCCCUCACUGAGAAGGCCCUUCCCUCUCUGGGCAUCCCCAGCAGCACAUGAGCUGCCUUGCUGCUCCCAUUCUUACCCCGCCUCUGACCCCAGGCCCCACCCAGCCUCUGCUUGGUCCUCUGCCCUCUUAAGGAAAAUUUCCCAAAAGAUAGAGGUUUCUGUCCACCUCCUCUUCUUAGAUUCUGCCUCUUUUUUCUUCUUGGUGAUUCUGGGGAUUAAACCUAGAGCCUUCACACUGAGCUACACCCCUAGCCCUUUUUUAUUUUAAGACAGGAUCUUGUUACAUCAUUGAAGUUGCCUGGGCAGGGCUUGAACUUGCAAUCCUCCUGCCUCAGCCUCCCAGAGUGCUGGGAUUAUAGUCCUGCACCACCACACCUGGCGUCUCUUUUUCAAGCCAACUCUCUCUGUAUUGAUUUGUUAUGUCUGCGGUUCAGCCAGGGUCUCAGAGAGGCGUGCUAAAAUCCCCAGUGAUGAGCAGGGCAUUCUAGGUUCUUUAGCUCUGUCAGUGUUUUUGCUACAUGUAUCAAAGCUGGGCCCGUACAUAUUUAGGACUUUUACUUCUUCUUGAGCAAUGGGCUUUCUCAUUAGGAAAUGCCUCUCUCGCUCUCUGGUAAUAGUCUUUGUCCUGAGUACGCUUAAUCGAUGUUAAUCUAGCCCCAUCUGCAUUCUUGGGACUCAGGUUUGUGUGGCACACCUCCCCUCAGUCUUUUACUUUCCUCUAGUUGGUGUCCGUAUGCUGCAUGCAUAGCACAUAGCUGGGUCUUCUCCUUGCAUCCAGUUCAGCGCUGUCUGGCUUUUAUGUGGAUUGCUUAUCCUGCUUGCUUUCAGUGCAAUUGCCAAUGUGGUUGGCCUUAAGUCUACCAUUUUUCUCUGCGUCCUCUAUUUGUACCAUCUGUUCUUUACUCCUUUUCUUUCCUAUUUUGGGUUGAGUGUGUUUCAGAAUUUUUUUUAUCCUCAUCCCCUAUCUUUAUAAUACUAGGCCUUGAACCCAGUUGCAUGCUGGGCAAGUGCUCUACCACUGAGCUACAGCCAUAGGCUGUAUUUUAUUUUUUAA